GCGAACUCGUUUUUGUGGUCUACUCAAAGUGUCCUCACCAUGACCUCUGAGACUGGGAGUAUAGCUUCCGAGAUGUCCAUGAAAAUGGCCUCCGAUGAGGGAAAUUACCAGCAUCAAGUGGAUGAAAGUCCUCUGUCUGAGACAAAGAAGCCCAUCUGUCAACAAGGGCUUGAGGAAGUCUCCACAGGGUCCCAUUGCACCUGGUGGGCUUGGUACGAUGAGAGGUAUGAAGCUUUCUUCAAGCAGAUUAGCAAAGUAUCACAUGAGCAUUAUUACCUUGACUUUAACAAUGUGUCUGAUGAAGAACAAGAUGAGAUGCACGGAAACCUG
rnacentral:lncRNA from 1 species